rnacentral:rRNA from 1 species
AGGAAAAGAAACCAACAGGGAUUGCCUCAGUAACGGCGAGUGAAGCGGCAACAGCUCAAAUUUGAAAUCUGGCCUCACGGUCCGAAUUGUAAUUUGUAGAGGAUGUUUCGAACGUGGUCCGGUCUAAGUUCCUUGGAACAGGACGUCAUAGAGGGUGAGAAUCCCGUAUGCGACUGGGUGCCUAAGUUCAUGUGAAACUCCUUCGACGAGUCGAGUUGUUUGGGAAUGCAGCUCAAAAUGGGUGGUAAAUUUCAUCUAAAGCUAAAUACUGGCCAGAGACCGAUAGCGCACAAGUAGAGUGAUCGAAAGAUGAAAAGCACUUUGGAAAGAGAGUUAAACAGUACGUGAAAUUGUUGAAAGGGAAGCGCUUGCAAUCAGACUUGCAUGCAGUUGAUCAUCCGGUGUUCUCACCGGUGCACUCAGCUGCAUUCAGGCCAGCAUCAGUUUCGGUGGUUGGAUAAAGGCUCUGGGAACGUAGCUUCUUUCGGGGAGUGUUAUAGCCCAGGGUGCAAUGCAGCCUACCGGGACUGAGGACCGCGCUUCGGCUAGGAUGCUGGCGUAAUGGUUGUAAGCGACCCGU